CAGCAGCCGCGGUAAUACGGAGGGUGCGAGCGUUAAUCGGAAUUACUGGGCGUAAAGCGUACGCAGGCGGUUUGUUAAGUCAGAUGUGAAAUCCCCGAGCUUAACUCGGGAACUGCAUUUGAAACUGGCAGGCUAGAGUCUCGUAGAGGGGGGUAGAAUUCCAGGUGUAGCGGUGAAAUGCGUAGAGAUCUGGAGGAAUACCGGUGGCGAAGGCGGCCCCCUGGACGAAGACUGACGCUCAGGUACGAAAGCGUGGGGAGCAAACAGGAUUAGAUACCCCGGUAGUCCCUGUCUCUUAUAC
rnacentral:rRNA from 1 species